CCUACGUGGGGCUGCAGUGGGGAAUAUUGCACGAUGGGCGCAAGCCUGAUGCAGCGACGCCGCGUGAGGGAUGACGGCCUUCGGGUUGUAAACCUCUGUUAGCAUCGAAGAAGCGAAAGUGACGGUAGGUGCAGAGAAAGCGCCGGCUAACUACGUGCCAGCAGCCGCGGGAAUACGUAGGGCGCGAGCGUUGUCCGGAAUUAUUGGGCGUAAAGAGCUUGUAGGCGGUUGGUCGCGUCUGCUGUGAAAGGCCGGGGCUUAACUCCGGUUUUGCAGUGGGUACGGGCUAACUAGAGUGCAGUAGGGGAGACUGGAAUUCCUGGUGUAGCGGUGGAAUGCACAGAUAUCAGGAGGAACACCGAUGGCGAAGGCAGGUCUCUGGGCUGUAACUGACGCUGAGAAGCGAAAGCAUGGGGAGCGAACAGGAUUAGAUACCCUUGUAGUC
rnacentral:rRNA from 1 species